AAAACAUUUCAAUCCUUUUCAUUAGAACAAAGCACUAUUCUCUUGACGGCUUUCAAAUGCAUAUUGUUUAGCUAUUAUGCUCUAACCUUGACUAUUAUAUUCCAAGCACAAUAGCAGUGGGAGCUUUCUGCUUUUUUGUUCGUUAGUGAUCAUGGUAAGAGAAUUUCUCUUUUCCAGGGUCAGUGAAAUAUUCUGUUACAAAGGAAAAAAAAAAAAAAAAGAGGAAAGAUAUAUUUAUGUUACAGUAGCAGUGAGAAGGAAGUCUGAGGUCUCCCCUUGUGUCUCAAAUUUCAGGUGGAAUGGUUCCCAGUAUGGAUUUUUACCCUAGUGGAGCUUGUACUUCUCUUGACAGAAAUCAAAGACUGCAAGUGCAUCCUGCCUAGACUGCUCAUAUGACUAGUGACAAGCUGAUGCUAAAGUGACUGCAGUGUUAGCUACUGAAAGCCUCAGGCAAUGUACAGCAGGGGAUUGCGGUUAAGGAGUAGCACUGAAACCCUUCUGGCUGAACAGCUCGGGGGCCUGGCCAUGUCCCUGGCACCUGGAUGGAGCUGCUCUGAUCCCCGGGGACAGCCCUGACCCUAUGCUGGCGGAUGAGCUGCUGAGCCCUGGUGUGUUCUGGUGGGUCGCAGUUUUCCAGGAGGGAGCACAGCCAGGCACAGCACUGCUAAUUGCAGGGACGGGUCUGUCAUCAGGACACAGUCCGAUGAGCUGCUGCAGUCAAGUAAAUCUGUGUAUCGCCUCGCAGCGGAGGGGCGUUGCAGAUGCAUAGGAUUUAAGAGCUCUCACCUCCCGCUCUGACACUGGUCCUGCAUGGUUCCUGCGCGGAUGAUGAAGCAUCCACCUCGGGUGCUCAGGUCACUCCGCCGCUCACUGGUGAGGUGCUGGAAGGCUGCUCUGUAUUCGGAAAUGCUGCAGAUCAAGUAUGCAUCUUGGCUGCAUGUCUGGAUUUUCCUUCCAUGGAAACAAGCAUCUGGUAAGGAUGGCUGUGUGUGCCAUCAGGUUUCUCUUUGGGACAGGUUGGAGAUGGGUGUUUGCACAGAGAAGUGUUCGCAUAUUACUCACCCUGUAAAUACCUGA
rnacentral:lncRNA from 1 species